UCGAGCGAGCGGAACCAACAGAUUUACUUCGGUAAUGACGUUGGGAAAGCGAGCGGCGGAUGGGUGAGUAACACGUGGGGAACCUGCCCCUAAGUCUGGGAUACCAUUUGGAAACAGGUGCUAAUACCGGAUAAUAAAGCAGAUCGCAUGAUCAGCUUUUGAAAGGCGGCGUAAGCUGUCGCUAAGGGAUGGCCCCGCGGUGCAUUAGCUAGUUGGUAAGGUAACGGCUUACCAAGGCGACGAUGCAUAGCCGAGUUGAGAGACUGAUCGGCCACAUUGGGACUGAGACACGGCCCAAACUCCUACGGGAGGCAGCAGUAGGGAAUCUUCCACAAUGGACGCAAGUCUGAUGGAGCAACGCCGCGUGAGUGAAGAAGGUUUUCGGAUCGUAAAGCUCUGUUGUUGGUGAAGAAGGAUAGAGGUAGUAACUGGCCUUUAUUUGACGGUAAUCAACCAGAAAGUCACGGCUAACUAC
rnacentral:rRNA from 1 species